rnacentral:rRNA from 1 species
GUGGGGAAUUUUUCGCAAUGGGCGAAAGCCUGACGAAGCAACGCCGCGUGUAGGAUGAAGGCCCUAGCGGUCGUAAACUACUGUCUAGUGGGACGAAAGUAUCCGGAAUGAACAAUUCCGAAUAUUGACUGUACCGCUGGAGGAAGCUCCGGCUAACUCCGUGCCAGCAGCCGCGGUAAUACGGAGGGAGCAAGCGUUACUCGGAAUUAUUGGGCGUAAAGGGCGCGUAGGCGAUUUGGCAAGUCUUGUGUGAAAGCCCACAGCUUAACUGUGGAAGUGCACAAGAUACUGCUGAAUUUGAGUUCAGGAGAGGAAGGCAGAAUUCCUGGUGUAGCGGUGAAAUGCGUAGAUAUCAGGAGGAAUACCAGUGGCGAAGGCGGCCUUCUGGACUGACACUGACGCUGAGGCGCGAAAGCUAGGGGAGCAAACGGGAUUAGAAACCCUAGUAGUCC